AUAAMACAUGCARGUCGAGCGGUAGCACAGAGAGCUUGCUCUCGGGUGACGAGCGGCGGACGGGUGAKUAAUGUCUGGGAAACUGCCUGAUGGAGGGGGAUAACUACUGGAAACGGUAGCUAAUACCGCAUAAYGUCGCAAGACCAAAGUGGGGGACCUUCGGGCCUCAUGCCAUCAGAUGUGCCCAGAUGGGAUUAGCUAGUAGGUGGGGUAACGGCUCACCUAGGCGACGAUCCCUAGCUGGUCUGAGAGGAUGACCAGCCACACUGGAACUGAGACACGGUCCAGACUCCUACGGGAGGCAGCAGUGGGGAAUAUUGCACAAUGGGCGCAAGCCUGAUGCAGCCAUGCCGCGUGUGUGAAGAAGGCCUUCGGGUUGUAAAGCACUUUCAGCGGGGAGGAAGGCGKURAGGUUAAUAACCUYGUCGAUUGACGUUACCCGCAGAAGAAGCACCGGCUAACUCCGUGC
rnacentral:rRNA from 1 species